rnacentral:rRNA from 1 species
GGUUUUAGUGGCGAACGGGUGAGUAACACGUAAGCAACCUACCCUAAAGACGAGGAUAACCAUUGGAAACAGUGGCUAAGACUGGAUAGGAAGAUAAAAGGCAUCUUUUAUCUUUUAAAAGACCUAGUAAUAGGUAUGCUUUAGGAGGGGCUUGCGCCAUAUUAGUUAGUUGGUAGGGUAAUGGCCUACCAAGACGAUGAUGUGUAGCUGGACUGAGAGGUUGAACAGCCACAUUGGGACUGAGACACGGCCCAAACUCCUACGGGAGGCAGCAGUAGGGAAUUUUCGGCAAUGGAGGAAACUCUGACCGAGCAACGCCGCGUGAAUGACGAAGUACUUCGGUAUGUAAAGUUCUUUUAUCAAGGAAGAAAAGCAAAUGGCGAACCAUUUGUUUGCCGGUACUUGAUGAAUAAGCCCCGGCUAAUUAUGUGCCAGCAGCCGCGGUAAGACAUAAGGGGCAAGUGUUAUCCGGAAUUAUUGGGCGUAAAGGGUGCGUAGGCGGUCUAGUAAGUCAGUGGUGUAAUGGCAACGCUUAACGUUGUCCGGCUAUUGAAACUGCUAAACUUGAGUUAGAUAGAGGCGAGUGGAAUUCCAUGUGUAGCGGUAAAAUGCGUAAAUAUAUGGAGGAACACCAGAGGCGUAGGCGGCUCGCUGGGUCUUAACUGACGCUGAGGCACGAAAGCGUGGGGAGCAAACAGGAUUAGAUACCCUGGUAGUCCACGCCGUAAACGAUGAGUACUAAGUGUCGGGUUAAACCGGUACUGAAGUUAACACAUUAAGUACUCCGCCUGAGUAGUACGUACGCAAGUAUGAAACUUAAAGGAAUUGACGGGACUCCGCACAAGCGGUGGAUCAUGUUGUUUAAUUCGAAGAUACCCGAAAAACCUUACCAGGUCUUGACAUGUUUUUGCAAAAUGAUAGUAAUAUCGUGGAGGUUACCAGAAACACAGGUGGUGCAUGGUUGUCGUCAGCUCGUGUCGUGAGAUGUUAGGUUAAGUCCUAAAACGAGCGAAACCCUUAUCGUUAGUUGCCAGCACGUUAUGGUGGGGACUUUAACGAGACUGCCAAUGAUAAAUUGGAGGAAGGUGAGGAUCACGUCAAAUCAGCAUGCCCCUUAUGACCUGGGCUACAAACGUGAUACAAUGGCUGUUACAAAGGGUAGCUGAAACGCAAGUUCUUGGCCAAUCCCCAAAAACAGUCCCAGUCCGGAUUGAAGUCUGCAACUCGACUUCAUGAAGUUGGAAUCGCUAGUAAUCGCGAAUCAGCAUGUCGCGGUGAAUACGUUCUCGGGGUUUGUACACACCGCCCGUCAAACCACGAAAGUUGGCAAUACCCCAAAACGGUAGCCUAACUCGUUUAUUCGAGAGGGCGCCGUCUA